GAUGAAGAUCGUAGCGAAAUGCGAUAAGUAAUGUGAAUUGCAGAAUUCAGUGAAUCAUCGAAUCUUUGAACGCACAUUGCGCCCCCUGGUAUUCCGGGGGGCAUGCCUGUUCGAGCGUCAUUUCACCACUCAAGCCUCGCUUGGUAUUGGGCAACGCGGUCCGCCGCGUGCCUCAAAUCGACCGGCUGGGUCUUCUGUCCCCUAAGCGUUGUGGAAACUAUUCGCUAAAGGGUGUUCGGGAGGCUACGCCGUAAAACAACCCCAUUUCUAAGGUUGACCUCGGAUCAGGUAGGGAUACCCGCUGAACUUAAGCAUAUCAAUAAGCGGAGGA
rnacentral:misc_RNA from 1 species